UACGUAGGGUGCAAGCGUUAAUCGGAAUUACUGGGCGUAAGCGUGCGCAGGCGGUUAUGUAAGACAGAUGUGAAAUCCCCGGGCUCAACCUGGGAACUGCAUUUGUGACUGCAUAGCUAGAGUACGGUAGAGGGGGAUGGAAUUCCGCGUGUAGCAGUGAAAUGCGUAGAUAUGCGGAGGAACACCGAUGGCGAAGGCAAUCCCCUGGACCUGUACUGACGC
rnacentral:rRNA from 1 species